UUAAGCGACUAAGCGUACACGGUGGAUGCCCUGGCAGUCAGAGGCGAUGAAGGACGUGCUAAUCUGCGAAAAGCGUCGGUAAGGUGAUAUGAACCGUUAUAACCGGCGAUGUCCGAAUGGGGAAACCCAGUGCAAUUCGUUGCACUAUCGUUAACUGAAUACAUAGGUUAACGAGGCGAACCGGGGGAACUGAAACAUCUAAGUACCCCGAGGAAAAGAAAUCAACCGAGAUUCCCCCAGUAGCGGCGAGCGAACGGGGAGCAGCCCAGAGUCUGAAUCAGCUUGUGUGUUAGUGGAACGGUCUGGAAAGUCCGACGGUACAGGGUGAUAGUCCCGUACACCAAAAUGCACAGGUUGUGAACUCGAAGAGUAGGGCGGGACACGUGGUAUCCUGUCUGAAUAUGGGGGGACCAUCCUCCAAGGCUAAAUACUCCUGACUGACCGAUAGUGAACCAGUACCGUGAGGGAAAGGCGAAAAGAACCCCGGCGAGGGGAGUGAAAAAGAACCUGAAACCGUGUACGUACAAGCAGUGGGAGCACCUUCGGGUGUGACUGCGUACCUUUUUGUAUAAUGGGUCAGCGACUUAUAUUCUGUAGCAAGGUUAACCGUAUAGGGGAGCCGCAGGGAAACCGAGUCUUAACUGGGCGUUAAGUUGCAGGGUAUAGACCCGAAACCCGGUGAUCUAGCCAUGGGCAGGUUGAAGGUUGGGUAACACUAACUGGAGGACCGAACCGACUAAUGUUGAAAAAUUAGCGGAUGACUUGUGGCUGGGGGUGAAAGGCCAAUCAAACCGGGAGAUAGCUGGUUCUCCCCGAAAGCUAUUUAGGUAGCGCCUCGUGAAUUCAUCUUCGGGGGUAGAGCACUGUUUCGGCUAGGGGGUCAUCCCGACUUACCAACCCGAUGCAAACUACGAAUACCGAAGAAUGUUAUCACGGGAGACACACGGCGGGUGCUAACGUCCGUCGUGAAGAGGGAAACAACCCAGACCGCCAGCUAAGGUCCCAAAGUCAUGGUUAAGUGGGAAACGAUGUGGGAAGGCACAGACAGCCAGGAUGUUGGCUUAGAAGCAGCCAUCAUUUAAAGAAAGCGUAAUAGCUCACUGGUCGAGUCGGCCUGCGCGGAAGAUGUAACGGGGCUAAACCAUGCACCGAAGCUGCGGCAGCGACACUAUGUGUUGUUGGGUAGGGGAGCGUUCUGUAAGCCUGCGAAGGUGUGCUGUGAGGCAUGCUGGAGGUAUCAGAAGUGCGAAUGCUGACAUAAGUAACGAUAAAGCGGGUGAAAAGCCCGCUCGCCGGAAGACCAAGGGUUCCUGUCCAACGUUAAUCGGGGCAGGGUGAGUCGACCCCUAAGGCGAGGCCGAAAGGCGUAGUCGAUGGGAAACAGGUUAAUAUUCCUGUACUUGGUGUUACUGCGAAGGGGGGACGGAGAAGGCUAUGUUAGCCGGGCGACGGUUGUCCCGGUUUAAGCAUGUAGGCUGGUUAUCCAGGCAAAUCCGGAUAAUCAAGGCUGAGGUGUGAUGACGAGGCACUACGGUGCUGAAGUAACAAAUGCCCUGCUUCCAGGAAAAGCCUCUAAGCAUCAGGUAACAUCAAAUCGUACCCCAAACCGACACAGGUGGUCAGGUAGAGAAUACCAAGGCGCUUGAGAGAACUCGGGUGAAGGAACUAGGCAAAAUGGUGCCGUAACUUCGGGAGAAGGCACGCUGGUGUGUAGGUGAAGUCCCUGCGGAUGGAGCUGAGACCAGUCGAAGAUACCAGCUGGCUGCAACUGUUUAUUAAAAACACAGCACUGUGCAAACACGAAAGUGGACGUAUACGGUGUGACGCCUGCCCGGUGCCGGAAGGUUAAUUGAUGGGGUUAUCCGUAAGGAGAAGCUCUUGAUCGAAGCCCGGUAAACGGCGGCCGUAACUAUAACGGUCCUAAGGUAGCGAAAUUCCUUGUCGGGUAAGUUCCGACCUGCACGAAUGGCGUAAUGAUGGCCAGGCUGUCUCCACCCGAGACUCAGUGAAAUUGAACUCGCUGUGAAGAUGCAGUGUACCCGCGGCAAGACGGAAAGACCCCGUGAACCUUUACUAUAGCUUGACACUGAACAUUGAGCCUUGAUGUGUAGGAUAGGUGGGAGGCUUUGAAGCGUGGACGCCAGUCUGCGUGGAGCCAACCUUGAAAUACCACCCUUUAAUGUUUGAUGUUCUAACGUUGGCCCCUGACCGGGGUUGCGGACAGUGUCUGGUGGGUAGUUUGACUGGGGCGGUCUCCUCCCAAAGCGUAACGGAGGAGCACGAAGGUUAGCUAAUCCUGGUCGGACAUCAGGAGGUUAGUGCAAUGGCAUAAGCUAGCUUGACUGCGAGCGUGACGGCGCGAGCAGGUGCGAAAGCAGGUCAUAGUGAUCCGGUGGUUCUGAAUGGAAGGGCCAUCGCUCAACGGAUAAAAGGUACUCCGGGGAUAACAGGCUGAUACCGCCCAAGAGUUCAUAUCGACGGCGGUGUUUGGCACCUCGAUGUCGGCUCAUCACAUCCCGGGCUGAAGUAGGUCCCAAGGGUAUGGCUGUUCGCCAUUUAAAGUGGUACGCGAGCUGGGUUUAGAACGUCGUGAGACAGUUCGGUCCCUAUCGCCGUGGGCGCUGGAGAAUUGAGGGGGGCUGCUCCUAGUACGAGAGGACCGGAGUGGACGCAUCACUGGUGUUCGGGUUGUCAUGCCAAUGGCACUGCCCGGUAGCUAAAUGCGGAAGAGAUAAGUGCUGAAAGCAUCUAAGCACGAAACUUGCCCCGAGAUGAGUUCUCCCUGAGACUUUAAGUCUCCUGAAGGAACGUUGAAGACGACGACGUUGAUAGGCCGGGUGUGUAAGCGCAGCGAUGCGUUGAGCUAACCGGUACUAAUGAACCGUGAGGCUUAACCU
rnacentral:rRNA from 1 species